rnacentral:rRNA from 1 species
GACGAACGCUGGCGGCGUGCUUAACACAUGCAAGUCGAACGGAAAGGCCUGCUUUCCCUUGUGGAUUGCGGCUGCUCGAGUGGCGAACGGGUGAGUAACACGUGAGUGAUCUGCCCCCAACUUGGGUAUAAGCCCGGGAAACUGGGUCUAAUUCCCGAUAGGACUGCAGGGUGGUGCCUGUGGUGGAAAACGAUUUUCUAGUGGUUGGGGAUGAGCUCGCGGCCUAUCAGCUUGUUGGUGGGGUAAUGGCCUACCAAGGCGGCGACGGGUAGCCGGCCUGAGAGGGUGGACGGCCACAUUGGGACUGAGAUACGGCCCAGACUCCUACGGGAGGCAGCAGUGGGGAAUAUGGCACAAUGGGCGGAAGCCUGAUGCAGCGACGCCGCGUGGGGGAUGACGGCCUUCGGGUUGUAAACUCCUUUCGACCGCGAGGAAGCCACCUGGUUGGAAGGGUGGUGACGGUAGUGGUAGAAGAAGCACCGGCUAACUACGUG